CCUACGGGUGGCUGCAGUGGGGGAUAUUGCACAAUGGGGGGAACCCUGAUGCAGCGACGCCGCGUGGGUGAAGGAGCGUUUCGGCUCGUAAAGCCCUAUCAGCAGGGAAGAAGAUGACGGUACCUUACCAAGAAGCCCCGGCUAACUACGUGCCAGCAGCCGCGGGAAUACCGAGGGGGCAAGCGUUAUCUGGAUUUACUGGGUGUAAAGGGGGCGCAGACGGCAAUGCAAGCCAGUAGUGAAAGCCCGUGGCCCAACCCCGUGAAUGCUCUUGGAACUGGAUGGCUGGAGUACAGGAGGGGCAGGCGGAAUUCCUAGUGUAGCGGUGAAAUGCGUAGAGAUUAGGAAGAACACCGGUGGCGAAGGCGGCCUGCUGGACUGUGACUGACGUUGAGGCCCGAGGGCGUGGGGAGCAAACAGGAUUAGAUACCCGUGUAGUC
rnacentral:rRNA from 1 species